UCCUAGUUUAGAGUCUUUCCCUUUCUCUUAAGCCACAGUCACGUUCAUCUCUCAAACCCUUAACCUGACGUUUAAGGAGAGGCGUUCCCCUUUCUCUCAAGCCCCAUCACGUUCAUCUUCCAUGACAAGGAAGAUCUAUUUAAGGGAAGGUCUUGUUGUCGGUGCCUUCCGGAGAAUUUACAGUGGGGGUAGAGGAAUAGAAGCGUCCACCCCAUUUCGGCCAAAGCAGUCGGUUUGUUGUUCACCACUUUCUUCAUCAGUUGCAAAACAUGAACAUUAUAGAUAUGGAUCCAAAGGGUUGAAGAGAGCUCUUAGAAAAAAUUUGGGAACAAAGUUUGGCUGCAAAUGAGAAUCAUCGUGAUGUUUUUGACUAGAGAGAUGGAAGCAUCAAGUAUUCCUCCAAUGCUCACCAUGUUGCUAUAAAGCUUUACAAAGCUUUUAUGGGUAUUUCUUAAGCUUUGAAUUUUUCAAUUUUUUAUUGAUAAUUGCAAAUCUUUCAGCAUCCACAUUUUUUUUAUUAUUUUAUAUGCUAAAAAUGAUGUAUAGCCAUGGAGAUGUUGUACACUAUUAGGGGUGUAAAAUCUAUUACAUUACUUCACAUCUCUGCUUCAAUUUUUGGGGAUAUAACUUUGCUUCAGUUUUUUAAAUUAAGCUUUAGUUUAUGUUGUUCAAACCGACCUAUCCAACCCAACCCGACCGAAACUUGACUAGGUUGGGUUGGGUUGAAAUACAUAAGUGGGUUGGGUUUGUUUGAUUUUACGUCAAACCGACUAUGUUGGGUUGCGUUUGGGUUGAGUCAAAAAUUGAUCCAACCCAACCCACGCCCACCCCUAUGUAUAUGUGUACAUUCGUGCCAUUUUCUUCCAAAUUGUGGCUUUGCCCCGAUGAUGUAUUCCAUUAGCUCUACCGACAUUCUAAAACGGUCUCCUCUAUCACGUAAAUUAAACGUAGCAAAGUUCAAUUCAUUAUUAAUUGCAUAUCCAGAAUAGCUCGUGAACCACCCAAUGACUUGGGAUAUUUUGUUGCCCGAGCCUACAACAAUUGCAAUGCCACGUCAACAUGCUGAAAGUUGAAUACAUAGUUAUGUACAAAUUAAUUGAAAAAUACAAGUAAUAAAUUAACAUACUUACAUCAUCUAGAAACCACCCCCCUGGUUUCCACACAUUGUUAAACAAUUUUUUGGCAUCUUCUAAGUUGAUAUGACCCAACAUCCCUAUAUCAAAUAUCCAACCCAACAUCCCUAUAUCAAAUAUCCAAC